rnacentral:rRNA from 1 species
UUCCUACGGGGGGCAGCAGUGGGGAAUAUUGCACAAUGGGGGAAACCCUGAUGCAGCAACGCCGCGUGAGUGAGGAAGUAUUUCGGUAUGUAAAGCUCUAUCAGCAGGGAAUAGAAGAGAAGGUACCUGAAAAAGAAGCCCCGGCUAACUACGUGCCAGCAGCCGCGGUAAUACGUAGGGGGCAAGCGUUAUCCGGAUUUACUGGGUGUAAAGGGAGCGUAGACGGCGAUGCAAGUCUGAAGUGAAAGGCGGGGGCCCAACCCCCGGACUGCUUUGGAAACUGUAUAGCUGGAGUGCAGGAGAGG